UUCUACAGGAAGGGAAUUAUGAGGGCACGACCUGUGCCAGAACUUAAUAACUACGAUUUAGAAAGAAAUAUCCAUGGAAGCUAAGCAGGGUCAGGCCUGGUUAGUACUUGGAUGGGAGACCACCUAGGAAUACCAGGUGCUGUAGGCA
rnacentral:rRNA from 1 species